rnacentral:rRNA from 1 species
GCUACCAUGCAAGUCGAGGGGCAGCAUGAACUUAGCUUGCUAAGUUUGAUGGCGACCNGCGCACGGGUGAGUAACACGUAUCCAACCUGCCGAUGACUCGGGGAUAGCCUUUCGAAAGAAAGAUUAAUACCCGAUGGCAUAGUUCUUCCGCAUGGUAGAACUAUUAAAGAAUUUCGGUCAUCGAUGGGGAUGCGUUCCAUUAGGUUGUUGGCGGGGUAACGGCCCACCAAGCCUUCGAUGGAUAGGGGUUCUGAGAGGAAGGUCCCCCACAUUGGAACUGAGACACGGUCCAAACUCCUACGGGAGGCAGCAGUGAGGAAUAUUGGUCAAUGGACGAGAGUCUGAACCAGCCAAGUAGCGUGAAGGAUGACUGCCCUAUGGGUUGUAAACUUCUUUUAUACGGGAAUAAAGUGAGGCACGUGUGCCUUUUUGUAUGUACCGUAUGAAUAAGGAUCGGCUAACUCCGUGCCAGCAGCCGCGGUAAUACGGAGGAUCCGAGCGUUAUCCGGAUUUAUUGGGUUUAAAGGGAGCGUAGGCGGACGCUUAAGUCAGUUGUGAAAGUUUGCGGCUCAACCGUAAAAUUGCAGUUGAUACUGGGUGUCUUGAGUACAGUAGAGGCAGGCGGAAUUCGUGGUGUAGCGGUGAAAUGCUUAGAUAUCACGAAGAACUCCGAUUGCGAAGGCAGCCUGCUGGACUGUAACUGACGCUGAUGCUCGAAAGUGUGGGUAUCAAACAGGAUUAGAUACCCUGGUAGUCCACACAGUAAACGAUGAAUACUCGCUGUUUGCGAUAUACAGUAAGCGGCCAAGCGAAAGCGUUAAGUAUUCCACCUGGGGAGUACGCCGGCAACGGUGAAACUCAAAGGAAUUGACGGGGGGCCCGCACAAGCGGAGGAACAUGUGGUUUAAUUCGAUGAUACGCGAGGAACCUUACCCGGGCUUGAAAUUGCAACUGAAUGAUGUGGAGAC